rnacentral:lncRNA from 10 species
CAAAAACCAAGUGUUUUGUUUUGUUUUGCUUUGUUUUUUAAUUUGGUCUUCAAAGGAGGGAGAAGAAGGACACAUGUAAUUAAAGGUCAAAAUGAUAAUAACUUGGCUAGAAUUCAUUUUCAUUUGCAGACUGGCACUUGUAGGAAUUCCCUAUUAGCCCAAAGACUAGCCUGAAGUUAGUUAGGCAUUAUUUCCCAAAGUAAGAAAAGUUAGCUUUCAUUUCUAAAGCCAGGAAGAAAGAAUUAUAGAUCUGUAUAAAACAAACAUGGAUGUGUUUGCCAUAAAAUGAGAAAAGAGAUCUGUAAUUCUGAAUAAAGAAAUAUCUAACCUCUAAUAGGGAAAAUUUAAAAAAUUUACUUUUUAUUGAAAAGUAAAUAUGGAAAUAAAUACGAAAAAUAACCAAAUUGAAAAUUGUUCAAUCUGGUUAGUAAUGUAAUUAAAGGAAUAAGAUGUCAAUUUCUCUUAGAAGGGAAACCAAAGCCAUAGAAGUUACUACAUUAUUGCCUCUUCUGAUAUGAGAUAGAUAUACUCAUAUACUGCUAUGAAUUGCUGCUCAUUUAUUUUUAGAAGUCAGUUUGACAUAUGUAACUAGAACCACAAUAGAGAAAUGGUUAAAGAUACUAUGGGCCAUCUGUCUGUCUGUCUGUCUCAUCUGUCUAAUUAGUUAUCUAGAAAAACCAGUACGGAAAGAAAAAAAUAACAAAAUGUUAAUGAAUUAAAAGUGAUUUGAGGUCUCUGUUUACAUUUUUAUGUAUUUUUCCAUUUUUUUUUUUACAUUAGCAACUUUUGCUUUUAUAAUCAGAAAAAAGAAAUCAAAGUUAAUUUAGAAAGGAAUUGUACUGCUUUUGAGGAGCACAAGCUUUGGAUACAGAAAGACCUUGAAUUAUAGCCUGCUUUGAACCUCUACGAUCUGUGCAGCAUUGGCUAAACAUUUCUUAGACUCAGAUCUUCAGUUUCACAUCUUUUAAAAGGCAUAAUAACAGAAUGCUUACAGGUUUACCUUGAAAAUAGCUGAGCCUACCUUACGGAGUGCUGGACGUGUGGUAUGUGUUUAGUGCAGGCCAGCUCCCCUCCCCAGUUCAACACAUCCUGAGUGGUAUCCACUGACAUUGAAAGACCAAAAUCAGAUCUUUUUGAGUCUCAUCAAUUCUAUCAAAAAAACCCUCCCCCUUGUGCUCUCAACCUAGGAGGGUCAAGCCAGUGGAAUGGUAAUCAUCUUGUGUGAGUUGUCAGUGCUCUCCUAAGCAUCUGUUACGCAGGAUCACGCUCUUAAGUUUGCCAAAAAUUACCUCAUUGAUAAUGUCUGCUGGAGAUGCUUAGGCAAAACUUGAAAUAGAAAGAUAGUCUUUUGGAAGACAAUUCCCCACAAGUGUAACCCCAAAGAAUGUUGGUUUGGUGACAUGGAACAGCUGGAAAAGUAAGACCACAUCGUUCAAAAGCAUGACAGUACCUCUGCAAAUGAGACGAGAGCUAAAUAUGUGUCUCAGAGAUAGGAAGCUAAAUCAGAACGCAGCAAGAAGACAGCACACAUUCGAGAGAGGAAAAAAUGUGAAAUCUGCUUCUGGCCAUCAGAGGAGCUGAUGCAAUCCCGGCUGACUCGGGGGACAGCCACGGUGCCAGCUACAGAGGCCACAUGGCUUCUAAUGAGGCCAGGCCCAGUUGUAGCUCCGAAGAGUGGGUGAGCCAGCCAAAUUUCACCCAAGGACAGAAGCAGCCUUAACAGCUGUUGACAAGCACUGGCUACCAUCUAUGUGUCAACAAUUGUGUCAUGAGUUUGAGAUGGGCCGACAGCACGUGGAACUCAAAGGUGACUAAGGGAGAAAGGAAAGUAAAUCAAUGAUCAGAGUCCAGAGAGCUACAUGCAGUGCAACCCAUGGUUUUAUGGGAGAACCGACAGGGGCACCUCACUCUGGAAGGAACAACGCCAGGAGAGGCUUUGAGGUGCCGAUAAUGUCCAGGAACUUGUUUGGAAUUGAGCCUUGAUUCUGAAAAGAAAGUAUCAGAGGGCAGCAUUUGAACUGGCAUUUAAGGUGUCAACCAGGGGGAAUUUGGUGCCGACCAGUAAAAGGGGAGAAUCAAAAACAGAAGCUCCAUCACCAGGGACAGGGCCAGACUCCUGACUAGAAACUCAGUGGAUGUGCUGAAUCAUUCGGAUACUUUCCAGAAAAUUAUUUUACCUACUCAGAAGGCUGGGCAUCAGCCAAAACUGUCUGGAAAACCACAAGGAAAGACAUUUCCAUGAAGUAACUAGAGUUUUGGGCUUCUACUCUAGAGGAAUAUAAGAGGAACUUUCUUUAAAGAGUAUGCAGGUGGUUCCUUUUAAGCUCACCUGUCUGGUUUUUCAAACAGAUCAAGGGGUGAUGGCAGGGAAACGUCUCCCCUGGAAAUCUCACCCCUCCAUUUGCUAAAGAGAAGGAGCUUCAAUCCCUUGACAGGAUGAUGAAACAAUAAUAAACUGAUGUGACCAAGUCUCAUGCCAGCAGUCCUACCUGUGGCCCACCCUUCUCGUGGCCAACAAUGGCUUUUCUUAAAUAAAUAAAAAUCAAGAUUUGUACCACUCCUGCUGUAAGCUCUUCAGUGGCUCAUGGAUGAAUGAACAGGAUCACCAUUGGCACACAAGUCCCCCCACAGAUCACCUACUCAUCUUUCCACCCCAGCUUUUGCCAUUCUCUCCCCAUCCCACAAAUCCAUUGCCAUCCAAAGAUAAGAAAGAUACCAGAUAGGGCUUCCCAGUUGCAGCAGAGUGGACUGUCUUUACACUGGAGGGCUAUUCUUCCACAAAGAAGUCUUCUCCCCCGUGGGAAGGGAUUGGAGUACUUCUCCUAGGCACUAUGUGAGCAGAUGGUUGAGAAAUGAGCUAGCCCUUGAGCUUCUGCAGCAAGGGAGGGUCCCAUCAUGAGAGCAGAUGGUAUGGGAAAUGCACCAGUUUGGAAUUGGGAGGAACAAGUUUCAGGCCUGACUCAGAUACAGAUACUUGCCAUCAUCAGUAUGCCCUUGAAUGAACUAUAAAGUGUCUCUGAACCUCUGUUGUCUCCUUUGCAGUGUUGAGCCAAGGUUAUAUACCACACAGGGAUUGAGGAAGAGGAAUUAAGGCAGCGUACAUGGAAGUGGCUGGCUCAGUCAUCACUGGCUAAACGCUACUUGAAUUCCAUUCUAAAACUCCACAUAGAAAGGCAAUUUGACAAAAUUUGAUCAUCCCUUCACCCCAAUUAUCACCCCGUGAACUUUUCUUCCAUUUAUCACCCUUGGAUUUCGUAGCUCGGCACACACAGUCUUUCUCCCUCUCUCACUUCUUUCUUUCUCUCCUUUUUUCUUCUUCUGUUAAACCUAAGAAAUUCUAAUGCUGAAGAGGGUUUUCUUAAGGUGAUUCUCCUGGAAAAGAUGACUCUUUAAGCAAAAAUUCAGACUUUCUCUAGAGUGACCGAGACAUGUAGGUGGCGGUAGCAAUACAGGCUGACCUUCCAGCAUGGUCCUGGGAACCACAGGUCAGCUCUGCUGCAGAUGCCCAGACAGCGUGUCUCUUCCUGAAACAAAUCGACUUCCACAUGGCUCUUCUGAAGACUAAGAUGGCCACGUCUAUCUAAUGAACCCAUCCUGCCACCUCCAUUUGGGUCCUGGAAAUGGACCGAGCUCUUUUGUGGUUCCCUGUACAUUUCAGCGUGCAUCUUUAGCUAUGAGAGGUCAUUUGCUGCCAGUUCUGUUGGCUUUAAUGAGUCUCCUGCCUUGGACCUGGAGAGAGAAGUGGGAAAAUGUGAUUCUCAUGCCCAGGCCUGGCCUCCCUGAACUCACUUUUCCCAUUAAGCUUUGACACUGGACCAUGCCUUUGUUGGCAGAGGAGGUUUUUAUGGAUCUUAUGGGGGAUGCACAAUGGAAACUGGAAUUAAACUUGUGUUUCUCUUUUUUCUCUCUCUUUUCCUUGAUUGGGUUUUGACAGAAAUUAUUUGACUGUUUCCUUUUCACAUGGACAGAAUCGAGUAUGUUCUUUCAACGUUAUCCAAACCAUCAUGCUCAAAUGGAAAGGAAAGUUCUGUGAGGUUAAAUGGCAGAGACAUGAUGUCUACAGUAGGAACAAAGCUGCUUAGAUCCUUCCAGACGCUGUAAAUUCCCCUAACAUAAAAGACAAGAGUACAGACUCUGAGGUCAGAGGGACUCACGCCCAAAUCCCUUCCCCACCUCUCACAAGUUACUUAUUCUCUUUGAGUCCUGAUUUUCUCACUGGUCAAAUGGGAAUAAAAAUCCCCUCCUGGGCCGGGCAUGGUGGCUCACGCCUGUAAUCUCAGCACUUUGGGAGGCCGAGGCGGGUGGAUCAGGAGUUUGAGACCAGCCUGAUCAAAAUGGUGAAACCUCGUCUCUACUGAAAAUACAAAAAACUUAGCCAGGUAUGGUGGUGCACACCUGUUAUCCCAGCUACUCAGGAGACUGAGGCAAAAGAACCACUUGAACCCGGGAGGCAGAGGUUGCAG